AUUGAACGCUGGCGGCAUGCCUAACACAUGCAAGUCGAACGGCAGCACAGGAAUCGGUCUCUCGUCGAGUUGCCGACGGGCGAAUGAUUCAUCAAUACAUCGCAAUCAGCUGUGGAUAGCGCGACAACGGCCGGAUACAUACCCCAUUACACCAUACGACGAACGCGGGGAAGCAAGAGACCUCCCGCUCUUGCGCCUUUCGAUGUCGGAUUAGCUAGUUGGCGGGGUAAAGGCUUACCAAGGCGACGAUCCGUAGCUGGUCUGAGAGGAUGACCAGCCACACUGGAACUGAGACACGGCACAGACUCCUACGGGAGGCAGCAGUGGGGAAUAUUGGACAAUGGGGGCAAGCCUGAUCCAGCCAUACCGCGUGGGUGAAGAAGGCCUUCGGGUUGUAAAGCGCUUUUGUUCGGAAAGAAAAGCAGUGGGUUAAUACCCCGCGGUUAUGACGGUACCGAAAGAAUAAGCACCGGCUAACUUCGUG
rnacentral:rRNA from 1 species